ACGUACAUAACUCGUUGCCUUCUUGUACAUGAUAGAUGCACUGCACACGUACCCCUACAUGAACACGUAGUUGGCAAAAAUUGAGGGUAGUUCUCCGUCAUGCUUAUCAGUUAGAGCUGGUUACCAAUAUGAGAAUGCAAUCGCACAAUGUACCGCCACGCCAUCCAGAAGCUUGCAGUGUUCUUUGCGCGUGGAGCCAUUACGUCUUCAUAAUCCCUUCAUACGUUUUCAACACAUAUUUGUUGUAGUCUUGCCCAACACGGCAAGCGUAAUAACGCAAAGUCAUUACUGUCCUACCCAUCCUCUUCGGGCACAGCACCUUGAACUUUCCACACGCACAAAUGUUGGUGAACCGGAAAAUCUACUGCGCGUGUUGAGAUGGAGUCUAGAGAUUGCGGGGAUGGGAUUCCAGGCCUCCCACACCUGGCCGCGGGUACCCAUGCCCCACGCUGAAUGAUCUCAGUAAGCCUGAAAGGUGGACGCCGGUCAUCAUGGGUUAUAUGACUAUAAAUCCGUCCGUGCGGGGGAGAGAAUGAUCACUUGUUCGCAAACCUUCGUGGCUGUUCUUGUCCGUUUGUCGCUUCGCAAAAAGUAUCAGUACUAUUCGCUGUCAUCAGCCAACUUCGCUCAAAAUGGAUGGAGUUUCAGUGUCCCAAACGACCGUCACCAGGAUUGUUGAGACUGAUGAUGCAGUCUACAUUCAGAAAACAACGGUAACUGAAGUCGAAUAGAGAGGGCAGCGUGAUGCGUCGGCAUUCUUCCUGGAGAAUAUAGACUUGGCUAUCAUGAUUGUAGAUAAAACCCGUUAUAGCCCUGCUACUUUGACCCCUAUGAUUACGUGUGUACGCAGUCGGUCCUUUAGUAGAUUAUAAGGUGCCUAAGCACUGAGUUCCACGAUGAUACAAUUGCAAUUAUCAUGAUGUUUUGAACACCUCUUUCUCUUUUUGUGGAUCAUGUGCACACACAUUUAUAUCUCCAUCUAGUCACUUUGACAACCGUCUUUUUCUCGUUAUUGUCUAAUAGUCAUCGCUGAUUUCAAUCAUUCGAAAAACUCAUUUCGAUGGACCACAA